rnacentral:piRNA from 1 species
UCACACAGCUGACUCAGGAGAGGAAUGC